AUUGAACGCUGGCGGCAUGCUUUACACAUGCAAGUCGAACGGCAGCACGGGGGCAACCCUGGUGGCGAGUGGCGAACGGGUGAGUAAUACAUCGGAACGUGUCCUGAGGUGGGGGAUAACCUGGCGAAAGCCAGGCUAAUACCGCAUACGCUCGGAAGAGGAAAGCGGGGGCUCGGAAACGACCUCGCGCGUUUGGAGCGGCCGAUGUCCGAUUAGCUAGUAGGUAGGGUAAAGGCCUACCUAGGCGACGAUCGGUAGCUGGUCUGAGAGGAUGAUCAGCCACACUGGGACUGAGACACGGCCCAGACUCCUACGGGUGGCAG
rnacentral:rRNA from 1 species